AUGCUGCUUGUGACUUAUCCGCAGAGCCAAAAUUACCAACAAGAUGAUUUCCAUAAAACUGUUGCACGGACCUUGAGCCAAGGAUCAACACCGAUGAGCAUGGAUUUUCAUCCACUUCAACAAACUCUUCUUAAUGUUGGUACCAAUGUUGGCGACAUUGGAUCGUGGGAUGUUAGUACCAAAGACAGACUCGUUGUAAGGAACUUCAAAGUCUGGGACCUCAGUAAAUGUACAAUAAUUCUCCAGGCAUCACUGGUUAAGGAUCCAGUUGUGUCAGUUAAUCGCAUAAUAUGGAGUCCGGAUGGAACCUUGUUUGGUGUUGCUUAUUCAAGGCAUAUUGUACAAAUUUAUUCCUAUAAUGGUGGCGACGAUAUUAGACAACACUUGGAGGUUUGACUGCAUGUUUCUUAAUUCUUUCUACCUCAUAGUUUUGCGGUUGUAGGUAAAUUAUGCAUUCUCUCAGCAUGUGACAAGAAUCUGUGUCUUCCUUUGCAGUUAAACUCACAUGUGUCCUGACCUAACACUUGAAUCCUGAUUUUUCAGAUUCUUGGUUGGUUAUCAAGUAGCCCUACUGAUAUAGAAAGUCAUAUUAGACAUGAUUGUAUUAUUCUAACAGUAUAAGUUCAUUUAGUUGAGUCUGCAUGGCAACAAGUAUGCUUCCUUUUUAAAGUCACAUGUCAAAAUAGUGCAUUUUUGUUUGGUUAUUAAUGGUCUUUUCUACAGCUUUCUGAGAAUAUGAGCCUGAAGCUGGAUAAGCUUUUGAGUAGCUCCACUAACAACUUUUGGGCAUCUGGCUUGGUAUUUGUGAUGGUUCCGCGCCACUUAGCGUUUAUGAUCAAUGGUGUAUCUCAGGCACUUUGCUGCUCUUAUACAGUGAUGUUGUCGUGCAAGCUUUAUUUUGGAUACUUUAUGUAGGAAAUUUGUUAACUAUCAAGCUUUGUUGGUCAUGUUACUACAUGUCAAAUUAUGUUGGACAGGCCCCUGGCACCCUGUUCUCAUCAUUACUGCAAGAUUUUAUCUGUCAGACCUGUUGCUGCACCUUAUUCAACAAUAAUAAAUUUCAGAGUAGAAGGUUUUAACCUACUCAGUACUUCCUCAAGGGUAAUUUGUUCAUUUGAAGGGCGAUGUAUAUUACAGGAAGACACGAAUUCUGUAGCAGAGAAUGCUGAGUAUAAGGAUAGGGACAUUGAAUCCCUUAGUUUGUGUUGUUAUGUUCUUGGUCCAAGAGGUAGAGGAUUUUACAAAUAUUUAUACUUAUAGAGCUUCUGUUUGAGUGCAGGACGAGAUGGAGGAGGUGGACGAGCAUGAAGGGCAACAUGGCAUCAUUAGUAGGAAGCAUCUUAAAGAGAUGUCUAUUAUGCUACAUGUUAAAGAAGUUGAAUCUCCUAGUAUGCUAUAUGUUAAAUUUAAAGAGAGGUAUAUCUCACGGUUGUUACAUUACUUAUUGUUGAUAUUUAGAAUGUAAAGAAAAAGGAGAAAGAACUGCAGGUUAUGGAAGCUAAGCUAAACAAAAGAGAAUGGGUAUGCUUCCUUAUCAUUGCAGAGCUCUGUAUCUACAUAGAUUGAUGGAGUACACAAAUUAAGCUUGUAUUGAUAGAAUGAUAGUUUUAUGAAUUGGCAUUUGGAUUAGGGUGUUUUGCAUGCAGAAGAUGUCCAAGGUACGAGGAGCGAGCCAUGAUCGCCGCCAGGCAUGAGGAGCAAGCCAUCCUUGUUGAGUGCAAGGCAGGGUCUCCACCUCCAUGUGGGAAACGGAAGGACCGGGCCAAGUCACUGGAGGGGAGUGCAAGGGCAUGCACAUGCCCGGACACACUCCUGACCAAGUCACCAAGAGGGUUGUUUCCAUAUCCUGUUUUUAUAUUAAUUACAACAUGAAGCAUGGUUUCCCUAAUUUGUUCACAGAUGUAUUGCAAGUUUCAUGUUUUGCUGUUUUUGUUGACACAUGUGUGUGAUUUGGAAAACACAUGUCUUGUCUUGUGCU